rnacentral:rRNA from 1 species
GAUGAACGCUGGCGGCGUGCCUAAUACAUGCAAGUCGAGCGAACGGACGAGAAGCUUGCUUCUCUGAUGUUAGCGGCGGACGGGUGAGUAACACGUGGAUAACCUACCUAUAAGACUGGGAUGACUUCGGGAAACCGGAGCUAAUACCGGAUAAUAUUUUGAACCGCAUGGUUCAAAAGUGAAAGACGGUCUUGCUGUCACUUAUAGAUGGAUCCGCGCUGCAUUAGCUAGUUGGUAAGGUAACGGCUUACCAAGGCAACGAUGCAUAGCCGACCUGAGAGGGUGAUCGGCCACACUGGAACUGAGACACGGUCCAGACUCCUACGGGAGGCAGCAGUAGGGAAUCUUCCGCAAUGGGCGAAGGCCUGACGGAGCAACGCCGCGUGAGUGAUGAAGGUCUUCGGAUCGUAAAACUCUGUUAUUAGGGAAGAACAUAUGUGUAAGUAACUGUGCACAUCUUGACGGUACCUAAUCAGAAAGCCACGGCUAACUACGUG